AAUAAUAAAAACGUUUAUUCCGUGCCAUCGCACACACACAGAAAAAAAAAGAAAACAUAAUGAAAAACAGUAAUAAAUGAACACAAAGACCUUAUGACUAAACAAAAGAAAUAGAUGAGAGGAUAUGUGUGCGUUGUCUGGCACCGAAACGGACGGCGGCUCAGCUAAGGCGGUAGAAGAUAAUAUAUUACCUACUACCGCGCUGAUUUUCAGCCGCUUCCCUUUAUGAUGCCACUGACUAUAAAUAAAAACUAAAAACUAAAACUAUGGCAAGUGCACGGCCGGCAGCUGUGAACCAAGGUCACCCGGGGUACUUCACACGCAUAAGCGGUUCGUGUUUUCAGCGGCCCCGAGUGCCUCACGCGGCUGUAAAAGGCUUUCAGUGCCUACGCUGCCGCCGUGCUGCGCCCACACUGUGCCAUAAACUGUAAAUAAAUAUAUGAUUGUGAUUUAAAACGUAAUUAGAAAUAUCAUGUAGUGAGUCUGUAGGCAAGUGGUAUAUUUUUGUGUAAUGAAUAAUUCAAUUUUACGAUGGAUAUUGGGAAUGAAGUCAUAGACUAAAGAAGGUAUUCAUAUUGAAGGUAGCUGUGAACAUUAGCUGUGUUGCAAAAAAUGGGAUGAUUUUGGAGAUAAGAAAAUAUGUACAAUAAUGGAAGAUUAUAUUAUGCCGCGGGAGUCCAUUUGUGUGUUGCGAAGAAAACUAGUGUCGCGCAAUCCAGGAUCCAAUUUAUUCCAACAGUGUGUGGAGUUAAAGGAGAAGCUUCCCGCAAACGAUGCUGAUUUAUGCUGAGGGGUUAGAAGAAGGUAGGAGGAUGCCCUGGUUCGGUGAGAGUUGAGGUCACGUGACCACCGUAGUUUAUUAUACAGAUAUUCGGGCAGCCGUUUCUGUAUAAUCCCAAAUAGAAGGCAGGCAAAGUGAAGGUGCCGACGGCUUGCCAAUUUCAAUAACUUUGAUCUUAUGAGGUACGGAGUAACGUGACUACGAGCAGGGAUGGUGUAGCAGUAUCGGGCACAAGCGUUUUGCACUCGCUGUAAAAGACGCUGUGUUUUACCAUAGAUGCAAGGACCGUAUACUGUGUCAGCAUAAUUUAAUUUAGAUAAAACUAAACUUUCACAUAAUUGCUCACGAAUCUCA